rnacentral:lncRNA from 10 species
CCCCAACUUCCUGUGUUCUCUGUGUUUGGUUGGUUGUUCUACAAACAUUCAGUGCAAAGCACUAUGCUAGACCCUGAUUAAUACACUGCCCUUAAAGGGUUCACAGGUAUUACCAAAGAUAGACAAGCCAUUACAACGUGAUAGGAUAAGUUGAUGAUAGUGGGCAGUACAAACCACUUGAAUGGCACAAAGAAAGCUAAGUAAAGACCUUCUCUAGGUCAGCAGAGGUUUCACAAACACAGCUUCCAUGUGCCACAGUGUGGUCAUGGGUGUGGGUGGCUGAACUGACACGGAGAUGGUAAACAGAGGAGUCGAACUGAGAAGUAUAGGGCCAGGGGUGAUAGCCUUCCCCAAAGUUUGUUUCUGAAAGUUAUGAGGUAUGGCACUCAGAAGGGUCUGAAAAAUGUGACUGUGGCUAAGAAGGUAAAUUCUAGCUGGGAUUUGACAGUGUCUCAAAAGAGCCAUGCCAUGAUCCCAUCCCCAUGAUAAGGACUGUGAACUUAUUGGGAAAGGGGAUGAAGAGGGGUCAACCUGUCUUGGAUCUGCUAUAAUCCCAUCCAUCAGCUAUUCUUGACACAUAUUCUAUGGGUGGCUAUAUCCAUUGGCCAAGAUCCUUUGGCUUCAAGCACUGGAAGCUGGCUCUGGCUAACCUCACCAGACAAGGAAUUUAUGGCAGGAUGUGGGGUGGCUCUUGGAAUUCAAAGAAGGGCCAAAGGACCAGCCAUCAGAAGGAUAAGACCUGGGUCAGCGUUGGGGGUCCAUGGCGCAGGAACUCCAAGGCAUACAGUUUGGGAUGAUGACUCAUUCUUGUUUCUUGUGUCACUCAUCUCAAGAUAAAAUUUCCCAGGGAAAGAACUCUAAGCCUCAUGACCACCCUCUGGUCAGAGCACCUUGAUCAUAUAGUCCAUCAAGAUGGCAACAAAGUGGGCAUGGAAUCCUCAAAAGCAAUUGAAGUCCUAGGACAGAAGAGAAUGGGUUCUGGCCAGCCCACAGCAACAGAGACACACACCGGACGAUCUCCAUAUGUUACACAUUUUGGGAUCCCAAAGCCUCAGGUAUACUUGCUACUUAGUGGGUGUUCAAGAUACGCUGAAGCUGCCCAACUUCCACCUCUGCCCGCUGGACUUAAGGCAGAAUUGUUUCUUCCCUCUCCUUAAUCCCCAUGACACUUUGUCCUUACUUGUAUCAAAGCAAUUAAAAUAGCUUGUUAGAGUUUUUCUUCUUUUGUUUUUAGGUAUU